ACGCACGCUGGCGGCAUGCCUAAUACAUGCAAGUUGAACGAUGAUAUUCUCUGCUUGCAGAGAAUUGACGAGUAGCGAACGGGUGAGUAACACGUGGGGAACCUGCCCAUGAGAGGGGGAUAACAUUCGGAAACGGAUGCUAAUACCGCAUAAUGCUUUGGACCGCCUGGUCCAGAGACGAAAGACGGCUUUUGCUGUCACUCAUGGAUGGCCCCGCGCCGUAUUAGCUAGUUGGUGAGGUAAUGGCUCACCAAAGCUGUGAUACGUAGCCGACCUGAGAGGGUGAUCGGCCACACUGGGACUGAGACACGGCCCAGACUCCUACGGGAGGCAGCAGUAGGGAAUCUUCCACAAUGGGCGAAAGCCUGAUGGAGCAAUGCCGCGUGAAUGAAGAAGGUCUUCGGAUCGUAAAGUUCUGUUAUUAGAGAAGAACAAGUCAAGGAGUAACUGUCUUGACUUUGACGGUACCUAACCAGAAAGUCACGGCUAACUACGUG
rnacentral:rRNA from 1 species